rnacentral:lncRNA from 1 species
CCCUCUAAUAAGCAAUAUGCUAGCAAGAGUUGACAAAGAUUUUAAUUACCAAAGUCUUUGAUCUAAAAGUAUGACAUUCCCCUCCUCGGGUCCCGUUUUGAUCAAGCAAUAAAUACAAGGUAAGUAUGCUUGAGAAUUUUUUUGCAAAUUAAAACAGCCUCAGCGAGAUAUAUAAAAGAUAAUGAGUGAUCUGAGAGAACCUAUGAGGAUAAAAGGUAUGCUAACUUUCUUUCAAAAAUAUAAAAAAAAACUCCAAAUGACAGGAUUAAGAAGAAAGGAUCUUUACUCUUAACCAUAUAUUUCCCUGACUACAGUAUACAAUGGAUUUAUACAACACCC